CUCUCUCUCUCUCUCUCUACAGCGAUGACUAUUAUUCUUGGGGUCAACCUACUCUGUCACUUCUCUCUCGUUUCCUCUAUUUUUGUUUUCUUUUUAUUAUUGUUGUUUUUAUCCGCACCAGCAAUUUCCAGCUCUUCCUUCCUCGCCUCCUCUCUCUGUCUCCCCUCCUCUUCCUAUGCCAAAGCCGAACGAGCUCUAACCCUAAAUCUCUGUUGUUAUUCAAAAUUCGUUCACUCCUUGUCCAUGGACCAGCACUUGGUUUCUGGGUUCUCCUUCGUCUUCUUCUUCUUUGUUCUAAUCAGUGACAAGGUUUGACUGCAGGACUUAGUCUCACCUUGUCGGGAAUCAUUUCUGAUUUUAAGCCUCAGAAGAAAGUAGGUUUUACAAAAGAGAUGGCAGGCAGCCGGGAUGGAAGUUAUGACCAAGGAAGUCCAUCUGAUGAGAGCUACCAUUUUGAAAGGACACAUAUUGAACCUAUUUACGAUGCAUUUGUUUGCCCUCUCACAAAACAAGUAAUGCAUGACCCAGUUACAUUAGAAAAUGGGCAGACUUUCGAGCGAGAAGCAAUUGAAAAAUGGUUUAAGGAGUUGAAGGAGAGCAGAAGAAGACUUGUUUGUCCAAUAACGUUGAAAGAGUUAAGAAGUACUGAACUGAAACCCAGUAUAGCUCUGCGAAAUACAAUUGAAGAAUGGACUGCAAGGAAUGACGCUGUACAGCUUGACAACACUCGUAGAUCACUCUCUCUGGGCAGCCCAGAGCAAGAUAUUCUGCAUGCUUUGCAGUCUAUUCAGUCUAUUUGCCGGAAAAGUAGGUCUAGUAAGCAUGCUGUACGUAAUGCUGAGCUGAUACCAAUGAUUAUUGACAUGUUGAAAAGCAGCAGUCGGAAAGUAAUGUGUAAAGCUUUGGAAACCCUUCGUAUUGUCACAGAGGAGGAUGCAGAUAAUAAGGAGGUAAUGGCUGAAGGAGACACAGUACGCACAAUUGUUAAGUUCUUGUCUAAAGAGCGUUCCAAGGAGAGAGAGGAGGCUGUGUCUUUGUUAUACGAACUCUCAAUGUCUGACACUUUGUGUGAAAAGAUUGGUGCAGUCAAUGGAGCGAUUCUUAUAUUAGUUGGAAUGAUAAGCAGCAAAUCAGAGAACAUUUUGAUUGCUGAGAAAGCUGAAAAAACACUGAAAAAUCUAGAGAAGUGUGAGAAUAAUGUGCGCCAAAUGGCUGAAAAUGGUAGAUUGCAGCCUCUCCUUUCACUCCUGCUCAAAGUGGGAAUUGAUGCAGGUUCCUCUGAAACUAAAUUGUCUAUGGUUUCUUUCCUUGGUGAACUGGUUCUGAACAAUGAUGAGAAGGUCUUUGUGGCCAGAACAGUGGGAUCAACACUUGUCAAUUUCUUGAGAAGUGGAAAUGUUCAAUCAAGAGAAGCUUCUUUGAAAGCCCUGAACCAGAUUUCAUCCUGUGAGGCUAGUGCCAGAAUGUUAAUAGAAGCUGGGAUCCUUCCUACACUUGUGAAGGACCUCUUCAUUGUUGGUGGGAAUCAUCUUCCUAUGAGGUUGAAGGAGGUCUCUGCAACGGUUCUUGCUAAUGUUGUGAACUCAGGCUAUGAUUUCGAUUCAAUCUCAGUUGGACCUGACCACCAGACUCUGGUUUCUGAAGAUAUAGUGCACAACCUACUCCAUCUCAUCAGCAACACUGGUCCUGCCAUUGAGUGCAAGCUACUCCAAGUCCUUGUUGGACUGACCAGUUCUCCUGCAACUGUUCUGAAUGUAGUUUCUGCCAUUAAAAGCUCUGGUGCUACCAUCAGUUUGAUUCAGUUCAUUGAAGCUCCACAGAAGGAGCUCUGUUUGGCUUCGAUAAAACUUCUCCAGAACCUUUCACCUCACAUGGGUCAAGAGCUAGCUGAUGCUUUACGUGGUACUGCCGGUCAGCUUGGUAGCCUGAUAAAAAUAAUCUCAGAAAACAAUGGGAUCACAGAAGAUCAGGCAGCAGCUGUUGGCCUGUUAGCAGACCUUCCGGAGAGGGAUUUGGGACUCACUCGACAGCUGUUGGAUGAAGGUGCCUUUGAGUUGGUCAUCUCUAGGGUGUUACGAAUUCGACAAGGGGAGACCCGUGGUAACCGCUUCAUGACUCCCUAUCUAGAAGGACUUGUUCAAGUCUUGUCAAGGCUCACAUUUGUCUUAGGUGAUGAGCAUGAUGCUGUAGUUCUGGCUCGUGAGCAUAAUCUUGCCGCAUUGUUCAUUGAUCUGCUUCAGGCAAAUGGGCUUGACAAGGUUCAGAUGGUGUCUGCCUUGGCUUUGGAGAACCUUUCACAAGAGUCCAAACGUCUGACAGAACUGCCAGAGUUGCCUAAACCUGGAUUUUGUGCUUCAGUUUUUCCUUGUUUUAGCAAGCAGCCAGUGGUAACAGGAUUGUGCCGCCUACACCAUGGAACUUGUUCCCUGAAGGAAUCUUUUUGUCUUGUGGAAGGAAAGGCUGUGGGUAAGUUGGUGGCUUGUUUAGACCACACAAAUGAAAAGGUGGUUGAGGCAGCACUUGCAGCAAUCUGCACAUUGUUGGAUGAUGGAGUUGAUGUUCAACAAGGAGUGAUGGUUUUGUGUGAGGUGGAGGGAGUCAAGCCAAUACUUGAAGUGCUGCUUGAGAAUCGGACAGAGAUCUUGAGGCAGCGGGCGGUUUAUGCUGUUGAGAGGCUCCUGAGGACUGAAGACAUAGCAUAUGAAGUUUCUGGUGACCCUAAUGUGAGCACAGCACUGGUUGAUGCAUUCCGACAUGGUGACUAUCGAACUCGGCAGAUUGCUGAGCGUGCCUUGAAGCAUGUCGAUAAGAUACCAAAUUUUUCUGGCAUAUUUCAGAACAUGGGUUAGGUGUGUUAGAGAUGCUAAUAUCCUUCACUCAUUAUGGCCAUUGAUGAUGGAUGCGAAUGGAUGGAUGUAUUGAUUAUUUUUUAAAUUUUCUACUAUCCUGAGGAAAGUUCACUGCUGCAUUAUGAUGAGGUGCUCAUGAUCAGAAAAUCUGACCUAUACAGACUUAAAUGCAAUGAUAAAGGUAUAGAAAACAUUCUUCUCAUAUUUGUAAGUGGAAUGUGAACCCGUGAGGUAGGUGUUAGGCAGUGCUGAGCAGAAGAAUGUGCUUAGAUGGCUGAAAUUAUCUGAUUGAGUUGAUGCUUUGAGGCCAACAAAUUUUGGCUAUUGCUAUGGGUGCCUUAUAUUUCCCAAGGCAAUUCUACUCUGCUGGUAUAUCUCCAUAUUAGCUUUGAGAUCAGUUCAGUUUCUGAAUGAUCUGUUUGAUUGUGGAAGGAGACUGUAAAUUUGUCAUAAGAUGGUUGGAGAACAGAAAAUAUAUAUAAUUGCAGCUGACUGGUGAGAAUCACAUUAUGCUCUUCAUUUUUUUUUAUCU